GCGGCAGACUGUUUGGGAAGCGGAGUCUGCAGCUGGCAGUGGCGACAGGUAGUCAGAAGUUAAGAUGAAAAGACAGCAGCAGCUCACUUUAACUGAUUUCUUUCUCAUGGGGAAGAAAAGAAAGAAAGGAAAUAGAUCAGAUGAAGUUCAGCUGGAAACUAACAGUGGUGACACUGGAGAGGGUGAUGCAGGGAGAGCUGCAGGCCAGAGUAGCUGAAGAAAUUAGCUGGAGCCUAAACAUGAAAAGGAAGGCUAAAAGGUGGGAUAUUGACAGCUUUUUUGCUAAGAAAAUUCAAAGAAGUACACAGGACGAAGAGAAUGAGGGAAAUGAAGGAGAAGGCAGUAAACUGGAGAGACCACAGAGGAUCAGAGCAGGAGAAAAGGAAAUAAGUGAAGGAGAAGAGGAAAAAGAAAAAUCA